AGCAGCCGCGGUAAUUCCAGCUCCAAUAGCGUAUAUUAAAGUUGUUGCAGUUAAAAAGCUCGUAGUUGAAUUUCGGGAUCAAUACGUCGGUCGUGCUUUCGGGUACGUACUGGCGUCAUUGGUUUCUCCUUUCUGACGAACCAUGAUGUCAUUAAUUUGGUGUUAUGGGGAGUUAGGACUGUUACUUUGAAAAAAUUAGAGUGUUUAAAGCAGGCUAACGCUUGAAUACAUUAGCAUGGAAUAAUGAAAUAGGACGUUCGAUCUUAUUUUGUUGGUUUCUAGGAUUGACGUAAUGAUUAAUAGGGAUAGUUGGGGGCAUUAGUAUUCAAUUGUCAGAGGUGAAAUUCUUGGAUUUAUUGAAGACUAACUACUGCGAAAGCAUUUGCCAAGGAUGUUUUCAUUAAUCAAGAACGAAAGUUAGGGGAUCGAAGACGAUCAGAUACCGUCGUA
rnacentral:rRNA from 1 species